AUUACGGGGUGCAGCAGGCGCGAAAACCCCGCAAUGCGCGAAAGCGUGACGGGGCUACCCCGAGUGCCGUCCGCUGAGGAUGGCUUUUCCACGGUGUAAGGAGCCGUGGGAAUAAGGAGAGGGCAAGCCUGGUGUCAGCCGCCGCGGUAAAACCAGCUCUCCGAGUGGUAGGGACGAUUAUUAGGCUUAAAGCGUCCGUAGCCGGCCCGGUAAGUCUCUCGUUAAAUCCAGCGACCUAAUCGUUGGACUGCGGGAGAUACUGUUGGGCUAGGGGGCGGGAGAGGCCGACGGUAUUCUCGGGGUAGGGGUGAAAUCCUAUAAUCCCGGGAGGACCACCAGUGGCGAAGGCGGUCGGCUAGAACGCGCUCGACGGUGAUGGACGAAAGCUGGGGGAGCGAACCGGAUUAGAUACCCGGGUAGUCCCAGCUGUAAACGAUGCGGGCUAGGUGUUGGGGGGGCUACGAGCCUCUUCAGUGCCGCAGCGAAGGCAUUAAGCCCGCCGCCUGGGGAGUACGGCCGCAAGGCUGAAACUUAAAGGAAUUGGCGGGGGAGCACAAU
rnacentral:rRNA from 1 species